AGUCCUGCAGUGUUGAGAGAGAGGCAGCAGAGAACCGGUGAAUGGAGUAGGGUCAGGGUGGGGUAAUGCAUAACAAUAGUAGGUGACUCAAAAAGGGUUAUUUAGAUGUCAGGUUGAGUGCUUUACGUGCAUUAACUCAUUCAAUCCUCUGAAUACCUUUGAGAUGGACAGAUUCUCUUAUUAUCUCCUCUUUAUGAGGUGACUGAGGCCCAGAAAGGGGAAGAAGAUACUUGCCCUAGGUAAGUGGUGGGUUGGAUAGCAGUUAGGUGGCAGUAUACUUGCUUUAUUUUAGGUGACUAGUAGGCAAAAUGAAAAUCUUGGAGAUGAACUCCUGUGUAUUUGACUUUUAAGGGUAUAGGUUUCUU